GGAGGACGUGCAGUCGCUGAGUGGAAGAAUGAUGGGUGAUGUCUCUGUCCAGGGCCACAAGUGGGGGCUGCGGGACACUCACUCGUCAGGGAAGAAUUCCAGGGGCCGGCUGCCUGCCGAGAUCGGGCACAUGGCAUGGUUGCGGCGCUGGCUGAAGCCGGCAGUGGAAGCACCCAGCGCACUUCAGUCCCCCCAGAAGACAGGGAGGUGCAGAGGAGGGAGCCACAGUCCUGCCGUCAGGGAUGAUCCCGCAGCCCCUCCUGGGGUGGCCGCAACUCCCACCUGAUCAUCUCAGUCCACCGCACAGCCUCCUGCAGCUCCAUCAGCCGCUCCUUGUACUGGUUCCGCUCCAUGAGCACACGGGCCAUCUCCACCCGCGUGAAGCGGCGGCGCUGGGCCAUGGGGAUUUUGUCCUGCGGAGGGAGGGGCACAGAGGCUCAGCCAGCCCUCGGAGGCCGGGUGACACCUGCUUCCUCCUGGGGUGCCUCCACGUAUAGGUGGAUCUCAGUGCCAAUUUCCUUCAGAUCCUCAGGCAAGAAGCGGUGUGGAGGGGUGUCGGCAAGGGGGGAGGGGAACUCGGAGUCGGCCUGACCCUGCCAGGGCUGCCGUGACACGCGUGAGGCACGAUGUGGGUGAUCUUCCCUGCGUGUCCGUGGAGGCCCCAGAUGCCUCAGGUGAGGUGCAAGUGGGACUGCUCCAGUGUGAAAUGAGCAGACAGGACGCUCUAGAAGGGUCCAGCCAGCUGAACGCUUUGGGUUCUGACAGACCCGUG
rnacentral:lncRNA from 1 species